rnacentral:tRNA from 1 species
ACCUGGCUGGCUCAGUCAGUGAAGCCUAUGACUCUUGAUCUUGGGAUUGUGAGUUCAAGCCCCAUGCUGGGUG